AACUAACAAGGAUUCCCCUAGUAACUGCGAGUGAAGCGGGAAAAGCUCAAAUUUGAAAUCUGGCGGUUCUUGACCGUCCGAGUUGUAGUCUAGAGAAGUGUUACCUGUGCUGGACCGUGUAAAAGUCUUCUGGAAUGGAGCAUCAUAGAGGGUGAGAAUCCCGUCUUUGACACGGACUACCUGUACAUUAUGGUGCGCUCUCAAAGAGUCGAGUUGUUUGGGAAUGCAGCUCAAAAUGGGUGGUAAAUGCCAUCUAAAGCUAAAUAUUGGCGAGAGACCGAUAGCGAACAAGUACCGUGAGGGAAAGAUGAAAAGAACUUUGGAAAGAGAGUUAAACAGUACGUGAAAUUGCUGAAAGGGAAACGCUUGAAGUCAGUCGCGUUGGCUGGAAAUCAACCUUGCUCUUGCUUGGUGUACUUUCUGGUUGACGGGUCAGCAUCAAUUUUGACCGCUGGAUAAAGUCUUUGGGAAUGUGGCAUCUUAGGAUGUGUUAUAGCCCAUUGUCGCAUACGGUGGUUGGGAUUGAGGAACUCAGCACGCCGCAAGGCCGGGUUUCGACCACGUUCGUGCUUAGGAUGCUGGCAUAAUGGCUUUAAUCGACCCGUCUUGAAACACGGACCAAGGAGUCUAACAUGCCUGCGAGUGUUUGGGUGG
rnacentral:rRNA from 1 species